rnacentral:rRNA from 1 species
CCCGGGCGCAGGUCCGGCUGGGGAGCGGAACGGCAUGGGAGGGCCGGCCGCAGCGGGUGACAGCCCCGUACGCGAACCCAGACCGGACGGCGCGACGCGGUCCCUGAGUAGGGCCGGGCACGUGAAACCCGGUCCGAACCUGGGUGGACCACCAUCCAAGCCUGAGUACUACCCUGUGACCGAUAGCGCACCAGUACCGUGAGGGAAAGGUGAAAAGCACCCCGGGAGGGGAGUGAAACAGUACCUGAAACCGUGCGCCCACGAGCAGUCGGAGCACCUAUACGGUGUGACGGCGUGCCUUUUGUAGAAUGAGCCAGCGAGUCGCUGGCGCGGGGCGAGGUUAACCGAAAGGGAGCCGGAGCGAAAGCGAGCCUUAACAGGGCGACUUGAGUCCCGCGCCGCGGACGCGAAGCCGGGUGAGCUAUCCGUGGGCAGGCUGAAGCGGGGGUAAGACCCCGUGGAGGGCCGAACGCACGUCGGUUGAAAACGGCGGCGAUGACCUGCGGAUAGGGGUGAAAGGCCAAUCAAACCCGGAGAUAUCUCGUUCUCCCCGAAAUAGCUUUAGGGCUAGCCUCGGGCGUUUACCAUGGGGGGUAGAGCACUGGACUGCAGCGGGGGCCUCACCGCCUACCAACGCAGACCAAACUCCGAAUACCCAUGGUCCACAGCCCGGGAGUCAGAACAUGUGGGCUAAGCUGUGUGUUCGAAAGGGAAACAGCCCAGACCGUCGUCUAAGGUCCCGAAGCGUGUGCUAAGUGGGAAAGGAUGUGGAGUCGCAUAGACAGCCAGGAGGUUGGCUCAGAAGCAGCCAUCCUUGAAAGAGUGCGUAACAGCUCACUGGUCUAGUGGUUCCGCGCCGACAAUGUAGCGGGGCUCAAGCACACCACCGAAGACGCGGCAGUAUUUUGUACUGGGUAGGAGAGCGUCCCAUGAGGGGCGAAGCGGCCGUGUGAACGCGCCGUGGACUUCAUGGGAGUGAGAAUGCAGACAUGAGUAGCGAGAGACGGGUGAAGAUCCCGUCCGCUGGAUGACCAAGGGUUCCGGGGCCACGUUCGUCGUCCCCGGGUGAGUCGGGUCCUAAGGCGAGGCCGACAGGCGUAGUCGAAUGGAUGAACGGGUGGAUAUUCCCGUACCGACCAUGGACCGGCAAAACCGAGACGGUGAGUACUAACCUCCGCCUCGUGGUGGUUCCUUCCUUCGGGUUGGUAUCGCCGCGUGGCGUUGGGACUGUAGCCGCAGUAGGUCAGCGCAGGGGUGACACGGAAUGGGAGCCGGCCGCGGAGGUGGUUUUCCGUGGUCAAGCACGCAGCCAGUCAUGUAGGCAAAUCCGCAUGGCGUGCAUGGCGAGGUGUGAUGAUGGGAGCCUUUUGGGCUCGAUAUCCGGUUGUCCAGGCCGUCGAGAAAAGCCUCGGCGUGAGGGCCAUGGCCGCCCGUACCCCAAACCGACACUGGUGGUCAGGUAGAGAAUACCAAGGCGAUCGAGCGAAUCCUGGUCAAGGAACUCGGCAAAUCACUCCCGUGCCUUCGGUAUAAGGGAGACCCACUGGGGUGAAGGACCUUGCGUCCGGAGCUUUGGUGGGUGGCACAGACCAGGGGGUAGCGACUGUUUACCAAAAACACAGGUGCAUGCGAAGGCGAAAGCCGCUGUAUAUGCACUGACGCCUGCCCGGUGCCGGAAGGUUAAGAGGAUCCGUCAAUCCCUUCGGGGACGAAGCGGUGAAUUCAAGCCCCGGUAAACGGCGGUGGUAACUAUAACCAUCCUAAGGUAGCGAAAUUCCUUGUCGGGUAAGUUCCGACCUGCACGAAUGGCGUAACGACUUCCCCACUGUCUCGACCAGGAGCUCGGCGAAAUUGCAGUACGAGUAAAGAUGCUCGUUAAGCGCAGAAGGACGAAAAGACCCCGGGACCUUUACUAUACCUUGGUAUUGGCGUUAGGCGCGGAUUGUGUAGCAUAGGCGGGAGGCUUCGAAGCGUGGGCGCCAGCUCAUGUGGAGCCGCAAGGUGAAAUACCGCUCUGUUCUCGUUUGACGUCUAACCUCGACAAGUCAUCCUUGUCAGGGACAGUGCCUGGCGGGUAGUUCAACUGGGGCGGUUGCCUCCCAAAGAGUAACGGAGGCGCUCAAAGGUCCGCUCAGCCCGGUUGGCAAUCGGGUGUCGAGUGUAAUCGCACAAGCGGGCUUGACUGCGAGGACGACGGUCCGAGCAGGGACGAAAGUCGGAGAUAGUGAUCCGGUGCCGGCGCACGGGCGCGGCAUCGCUCAACGGAUAAAAGGUACUCCGGGGAUAACAGGCUGAUCAUUCCCAAGAGUCCAUAUCGACG